UCCGGCUUAUCACCGGCGGUUUCUUUAGAGUGCCCAACUAAAUGAUGGCAACUAAAGACGAGGGUUGCGCUCGUUGCGGGACUUAACCCAACAUCUCACGACACGAGCUGACGACAGCCAUGCAGCACCUCGACUAAUGUCCCUUGCGGGAAAAACGACUUUCGCCGCCUGUCAUUAGCCGUUCGAGCCCAGGUAAGGUUCUUCGCGUUGCGUCGAAUUAAACCACAUACUCCACCGCUUGUGCAGGCCCCCGUCAAUUUCUUUGAGUUUUAGCCUUGCGGCCGUACUUCCCAGGCGGAAUACUUAAUGCGUUGGCUUCGCCACCGAAAUGUAGGCAAUCCCGGCAGCUAGUAUUCAUCGUUUACGGCGUGGACUAC
rnacentral:misc_RNA from 1 species